UACGUAGGUGACCAGCGUUGUCCGGAUUUACUGGGCGUAAAGAGCGCGCAGGCGGUCGUUCAAGUCGAGUGUGAAAGCCCCCGGCUCAACUGGGGAGGGUCACUCGAUACUGAUCGACUUGAAGGCAGGAGAGGGAAGCGGAAUUCCCGGUGUAGUGGUGAAAUGCGUAGAUAUCGGGAGGAACACCAGUGGCGAAGGCGGCUUACUGGACACAUAUUGACGCUGAGGUGCGAAAGCGUGGGGAGCAAACAGG
rnacentral:rRNA from 1 species